GCACUGCUGAGGAGUCCCAUAACAAGACGAAACAGCCGUCCAGUAC
rfam:Schistosoma rodhaini strain Burundi genome assembly, scaffold: SROB_scaffold0014968